rnacentral:rRNA from 1 species
CAAAAACAUCGCCUCUUGACAUACAUAAGAGGUCCAGCCUGCCCAGUGACUAAGUUCAACGGCCGCGGUAUCCUAACCGUGCGAAGGUAGCGUAAUCACUUGUUCUUUAAAUGAGGACUAGUAUGAAUGGCACCACGAGGGUUAUACUGUCUCCUUUUUUUAAUCAAUGAAACUGAUCUCCCCGUGAAGAAGCGGGGAUAAAUUUAUAAGACGAGAAGACCCUAUGGAGCUUUAAACAAUAAUAGCACUGGCCCACACCUCUUAUUCUUCUGAGAUAUAAUUAUCAUACAGGCCAACAUGACUAUUAGUUUUAGGUUGGGGUGACCGCGGAGCAAAAAUUAACCUCCACGUUGAACGGAGCUACUCCUGAGCUAAAAACUACAACUUUAAGCACCAAUAAACUGACAUCAAUUGACCCAAUAUAUUGAACAACGAACCAAGUUACCCUAGGGAUA